ensembl:misc_RNA Metazoa_SRP Metazoan signal recognition particle RNA
GCUAGGUGUGGUGGCGCACACCUGUAAUCCCAGCUACUUGGGAGGCUGAGGCAGGAGAAUCGCUUGAACCUGGGAGGCGGAGCUUGCAGUGAGCCACGAUUGAGCCACUGCACUCCAGCCUGGGCAACAAAGCGAGACUCUGUCUCAA